rnacentral:lncRNA from 1 species
UUAGGGUAAAAACCGUCAUUCUUUAAUUGUGAGCGGACAACGUAAAAUUGCCGCGAACCUGUAUGUUUUAUUGACGUCAUAAAUAAAACUCUACGGAAACACAUUGUCAACGUCAUAAACAAGGCGAUAUACGGUCAGUGACUGUAUAUCACAUAUGAAUAUACGGUCAAUGCAAUUUGACUGCUCAAAUAGCACAGCUGCAGUA